UUAAAACAAUGGUUAUUAUAUUAGGCCGUUCAGGUCCAACCAUCAAAAAUUAAUCGUUAGCCACUCACACGGAGCGGUGGGUUUGAGAAAAUAAAGUCGAAGCUGUGGUGGUACUGCAUGUAUGCUAAUGCUAAUGCCACUGCUACAAAUUAGAAAAUGGAUUCAAGUCUGUUCCGAUUAUCAACUCCAACGUUUACGCUGCCAAGAGCAAGGCCCAGCCUUUCCCAUAAAAGAAUUCAUUGUCAGAAUCAGAGUCAGAGUGAGAACGUGGCGUUCGACGAAGCGGCUUUCGAGGCCGAGAGACUCAGCCUUGACGCCAAGGAUCGUGAAACGAUGAUGGCUCAGUCUAGUAGUAGUAGUAGUAGUAACGGUGGUGACCCGAAAGCUUGGAAAUGGGUAAUCCGAAAGAGAAUUUGGGAUACGAUGGAAGCCCUCAAUAUUGCUCAGAAUCCCAGACCUGUUCACCACCGGAUUCCCAAUUUCGUCGCUGCUUCAACUGCUGCCAAAAAUUUAAGUAAGUUGAAGGAGUUUGGGGUUGCCAACUGUGUAAAGGUUAACCCGGAUUCGCCUCAGAAACAAGUUAGAUUUCUCACACUUUCUGGUGGAAAGAAGUUGUUAACUCCUCAGCCCCGAUUAAGGACUGGGUUUUUCUCUGUUCUUGAAUCCCAUAUGUUAACUCCUAGUGCCAUCUAUGAGGCUUGCACCUCUGUUGGGGUUGCCAAGUAUGGCCGGUCUAUUGGACUAGAUGAAAAGAUAAAGGUGGAUCUAAUUGUUAUUGGCUCAGUUGCUGUUGACCCAAAGACAGGUGCUCGACUUGGCAAGGGUGAGGGAUUUGCAGAACUUGAAUAUGGGAUGCUGCGCUACAUGGGAGCCAUUGAUGACUCAACACCAGUUGUCACAUCUGGCCUAGAGAGGAACACAAUGGAUCUAUCACAAAUGGAGAGGAUCCUACAUUUUUCUCUAUCCUUUUCUUUACAUUCAAUAGGUGCACGAUUGUCAAUUGGUAGAUGAUAUUCCAGUUGAGAAACUGUUAAUCCAUGAUGUGCCAGUAGACAUCAUAUGCACUCCCACCCAGGUCAUUUAUACCAACACGUGUAUUUCAAAGCCUCAAGGAAUUUACUGGGACAAGUUGUCACCUGAGAAGCUGGGAAAAAUUCGAAUACUGAGAGAGCUGAAGAGCAGAAUUGAACAAGAGACAGGGCAGAAACUUCCUUGUGGUCCUUCUGAGAAACUGCCACCCUCAGCUCCUCGGAGGCGCUAACUUAUUUUACAAUAUAACUUGGGGAUAAAUGGAAGAAUAUAAAAAGAAAGAAAGCCAAACCAAAUGCAACUUUUAUUUAUUUAUUUUAAUAUGAGAAAAUAUGACUUAAUAUCAGAGACGUGAAUGUGAGGAAUGAGUGAUCAUUCAUUAUUCUAAUUCAAUUGUAUAUACCCUUUAUUCACUAGCCUACAAAGAAAAA